rnacentral:rRNA from 1 species
UACGUAGGGGGCUAGCGUUGUCCGGAAUCAUUGGGCGUAAAGGGUAGGUAGGUGGUCUCGUUUGUCUGGGGUGAAAUCCUUGAGCUUAACUCAAGAAGUGCCCUAGAAACGGCGAGACUGGAGUACUGGAGAGGGUCGUGGAAUUCCCGGUGUAGCGGUGAAAUGCGUAGAGAUCGGGAGGAACACCAGAGGCGAAGGCGGCGACCUGGACAGUCACUGACACUCAACUACGAAAGCGUGGGGAGCAAACAGG